rnacentral:rRNA from 1 species
GAUGAACGCUAGCGGCAGGCCUAACACAUGCAAGUCGAGGGAGAAGCCUUCGGGCUGAAACCGGCGCACGGGUGCGUAACGCGUAUACAAUCUACCUUUCACAUAGGGAUAGCCCGAAGAAAUUUGGAUUAAUACCUAAUGGUAUAUAGGAGCGGCAUCGUUUUUAUAUUAAAGCUACGGUGGUGAAAGAUGAGUAUGCGUUCUAUUAGCUAGUGGAGAGGUAACGGCUCCCCAAGGCGACGAUAGAUAGGGGUUCUGAGAGGGAUGUCCCCCACACUGGUACUGAGAUACGGACCAGACUCCUACGGGAGGCAGCAGUGAGGAAUAUUGGACAAUGGUCGGAAGACUGAUCCAGCCAUGCCGCGUGCAGGAUGAAGGUCCUAUGGAUUGUAAACUGCUUUUGUAAGGGAAGAAUAAGGAGUACGUGUACUUUGAUGACG